AUUGAACGCUGGCGGCAGGCCUAACACAUGCAAGUCGAACGAGUGGCGGACGGGUGAGUAAUGUCUGGGACACUGCUUGAUGGCGGGGGAUAAUUACUGGAAACGGUAGCUAAUACCGCAUACCUUCCGAUGUGCCCAGAUGGGAUUCGCUUGUUGGUGGGGUAACGGCUCACCAAGGCAACGAUCCCUAGCUGGUCUGAGAGGGUGACCAGCCACACUGGAACUGAGACACGGUCCAGACUCCUACGGGAGGCAGCAGUGGGGAAUAUUGCACAAUGGGCGCAAGCCUGAUGCAGCCAUGCCGCGUGUAUGAAGAAGGCCUUCGGGUUGUAAAGUACUUUCAGCGGGGAGGCGUUACCCGCAGAGAAAGCACCGGCUAACUCCGUGCCAGCAGCCGCGGUAAUAC
rnacentral:rRNA from 1 species